GAUGAAGAACGUAGCGAAAUGUGAUAAGUAAUGCGAAUUGCAGAAUUUCCGUGAGUCAUCGAAUCUUUGAACGCACAUUGCGCCCGCCAGUAUUCUGGCGGGCAUGCCUGUUCGAGCGUCAUUUCAACCAUCAAGCCCCCGGGCUUGCGUUGGGGCCCUGCGGCUGCCGCAGGCCCCGAAAAGCAGUGGCGGGCUCGCUGUCACACCGAGCGCAGUAGCGAUUCUCGCUCCGGGCGUCGGCGGCGGGCACCGGCCGUGAAACCCCCCCACAUCCACAAGGUUGACCUCGGAUCAGGUAGGAAUACCCGCUGAACUUAAGCAUAUCAAUAAGCGGAGGA
rnacentral:misc_RNA from 1 species